GGCCCGGCCCCGCUUUCAUUGGCCAUUUCGUUAACCAUUUCAAAAUUCGAAUUCUCCCCUCAUUUACUGUGCUGAAAUUGCUUCUCCGGUCUGCCGCCUGCCCGCCACUCUCACACAUAGCUUCCCUUCUCGCUCGAAAUCACCACUCAAUUCGAUCGCAAGCUGCCGAAUCCUGAACCCUAUGAAGAUCUCCGAGCUCUCUCCCGAGUACCGGCAGCCGCCGCCGCCGCCGCAAUCCGCCCUCCUUACCGACCUCAACAGGGUCGUCGCCGACGUCGAGGCGCUCGACGCCUCCGAUUCCUCUUCCCCGGAGAAGCUCGCAGCCGAUCUCCGCUGCCUCCUCACCAACCUCGCAUCCGCUGCUUCCUCCUCCUCCUCGGGUCUCAAUGGGGCGUUCAGGCUCAAGGUAUGGAACCUCGCCUUCCGCCUCUGGAACGCGUGCGUCGACCGCGCCAACCACUUCGCUGCGAGGGGUGCCGAGGCCGCGGUCGCGGAGACGGAGAUCCGACAGGCGGCGCCGGAGCUCCUCCUCGUAGCUGGCCUCCCGGAAGGCGUCCCCAACGCCGCUGCGAAGGCGGCGUCCCUUUUCCACCGCACCGGCCUGUUCUGGCUUGACCUCGGCCGCGCCGACCUCGCUUCCGCCUGCUUCGAGAAGGCCACGCCGCUGGUCUGCGCCGCUGACACGGAGGAGGAUCGGGACAUCCUGUUGGACCUCAACCUCGCGCGUGCCCGCGCGGCGUCGAGCGAGGGGAAACAAGCCCUCGCCGUCGCGUUGCUAAGCCGGUCCAAGCCCCUCGCCGCGGCGUCUUCCGUGGGGGUGAAAGCCCUCGCCGAGGGGUACCUUCUCCUCGGCAAGGCUGCUCUCGCCACUAAAUCCCCGGAUCCCGCCAUCGACGCGUCGAGCCUCCUAACCGAAGCGCUUGAUCUCUGUGAGAGGGCCGCGGCCUCCCCCUGCUGCACCACUCCGACGAGCCCGAGAUCCAGUCCUGCAACCCCAAAUCUCCAAGUGAUCAAGGAUCAAUGCCUCCGCUGCCUCGCCGCAGAGCGUCUCCAAGCCAACGACUAUGAGGGCACCCUGCGCUGUAUCAUGGUCUCGAGAGCCUCACCAGGGCUGGGGAAGGAGCACUCUAGCAUUGCGUUCAUGGCGCUCCGUGCGUGUCUCAGCAGUGGGAAAUUGUUGGAAGCCGAGAGGGAGCUCGAUAGGCUCAUGGCCAACGCUGAAGCGCCGGAGUUUGUGUGUGUGUCGGCAGCCGAGCUGUACGUAGCCAGUGUGGGGCUGGACGCUGCCCUUAAGGUGCUUGUUGCACUUGCUGCACGGUGUCGCGCCAGUGCUUCAGCUGUUGCAGUGAGGGUGUUGAAAACGGUGGUUCAGGGUGCAGGCGGCGAGGCUGGGCAUGCAAGAGCGAUCGCUGAACUCGUGUCAGAUGAGAGGGUGGUUGCACUUUUCAAUGGCCCUGCUAACGCCCAUGAGCGUGGCACGAUGCAUGCACUGCUAUGGACAUGUGGCACUGUGCAUUUCCAUGCAAAGAAUUACGAGAUUAGUGCGGAUUUGAUUGAGAGGUCGAUGCUUUAUGUUUCCCGUGACGAGGAAAGCAGAUCCCGCCGUGCAAACUGCUUCCGAGUACUUUGCCUUUGCCAUAUGGCACUUCGUCAUCUCGAUCGAGCCCAAGAGUUCAUAAUUGAGGCUGAAAAGGUUGAACCCAGUAUCCACUGUGCCUUUCUGAAGUUUAAGAUUCUUCUGCAGAAGAAGGAGGAGGAGGAUGCUAUCAAGCUGAUGAAGGCCAUGAUGGGCUAUGUUGACUUCAACCCUCAGUUCCUGAUACUCUCGAUUCAUGAAGCUAUUGGUUGCAAGUCUUUCUGUGUGGCUGUUGCUUUGUUAACCUUCCUUCUAGGCCUCUACUCUGCUGGAAAACCAAUGCCAAUGAGUGAGGCCACCGUCCUCCGCAACCUGAUAACUCUCCUCCUUCGUGAGCCAGGAUCUGAGGCUGAGAUUCUUAAGUACUCAAGACGUGCCAAGCUACGGAUGGGUGAGCUUGGUUUGGAAGCCUUUUUCGGAAAGGAAACUGUAGGGCUGCGUGAACUGAAUUGGUUUGCUGUCAGUUCAUGGAAUAUGGCUUUAAAGGUGCUAAAAGAGGACAAGUAUGAUUAUUGCUCUGAAUUCUUUGAGCUUGCAGCUGAAUUUUUCAGCUCAGGUAAUGGUGAAGAUGGUGCUAACCUUCUCUUGAUUUGCAAAUCAUUGAUCAUGAGUGUCAGUAGUAUGCUCCUGGCUGACGACCUAAACAAGUCUCAAUUAUCAGAUUCUGACCUUAAAAGGGGCAUUGAGAUGCUCAGAAGAGCUGGGAAGCUAUUACCCUUGACUUUGUCUUCAGCUCUGGUGACCUCUGAUCAAUUGGAGAACAACUUGCCCUUUCUUCAUACAUUCAGCUUCUACCAGCUUCUCAGUAGACUGGACACUAACGCACACCCUCAGCAGCUCCAAUUAGCCAAGAACUUUGCGGCAUCUAAAGCAUGUACACCAGGUCAUCUUCUCAUACUUGGAGACAUGGCUUCUAAAGGUAACCAACCAAAUCUCGAGGCUGCUGAGUUUCUCCUGAAGGCCAGCAUCAGUACUGCCCUUGCCUCUCACUCACCAAACUAUGGGGUAAUCAGUGCUGCCCUUAGAAAGCUAGUAUGCCUUGCUGGUCUCCAUGAUUUCAGUGGUAGCAUGAGUGAUGCAGCCUAUGACGUAUUUCGACAAGCUUACCAGAUUGUGGUUGGACUUAAAGAUGGUGAAUAUCCAUUUGAGGAAGGGAGGUGGCUUAGUAUAACUGCAUGGAACAAGUCAUAUUUACCUGUGCGGCUUGGACAACAUUCUGUUGCUAGAAAAUGGAUGAAGAUGGGUCUAGAUCUUGCUCGGCAUUUUGACAGGAUGAAGCUGUAUAUAUCAGGGAUGGAGGAAUGCUUUGAGAACUUUCGGAAAUUAACUGGUAAAGAACCUGAUGAAUGUAGCCAGCAAGAUGGGGAACCAAGUACUGGCAUGUCUGGUACUGGUAGUAUGUCUCAGCCUGUCCUAGUUUAGAAAUUUGUGGGUGGUGGAGGUUCAUAGCUAGAGAAAAAUAGAACAUCUGUUUGAACCAUACAUACCUAUAUUCUUCAUUGAUUGAUGUGCACUCAAAUGCUCUUCCAUUUUCUGAUGAGAAUUUUGCGCACGUUCCGUGAUUUGUAGAGAACUAUGUGAUGAUUUUGUUGGCCGUAUAAUGUCCUAGAAUAUAGUAUGCCCAUGUGCAAGGAGAAGUCAAUAUUUGUCUUAUAUUGGGUGACUCUUCUAUAAGUAUGAUGAUCUUUGUAUCGGCAGUAAGGGUCUGUUUGUUGGUUCCUCGGGGCUCAGGAAGAGUUGCCUUGGGUUGGAUUUCAACUGCUUGGGUUUCACAUCUCUGCCUGGCAGGGUCGCAAGCAAACAACCCCAAGCGUCCCUCGAUUUUAAUAUCAUCAUGUGCAACAAAUGUUCAUUAUUUUCGUUAAAAAACAUUUUGACAGGAAACUGGUUUUCCGAGGUGAUUUUUUUUGUUAAGACAACUAAUUGAACUCCGUAGGGAGCUAUUACAGUUCAUUGUCAUACCAUAUAGAUUUCAGACACAAAUUAUUGUUGAAAGAAAUUGGACUGGAGAGGGCUGAGGAGCAAAAGGAGGACAUGAAACAUUUACACAACCCUGAACGUACACUGUGUUGAAUGUAUAUCACUAUAUCAGGGGGGCCAGGUUCUGAUAGUGAUGCACAGCAGCUACUCCUCUUUGGUUCAGCUUCUCAAUCGUAGUCCAAGAGGAUUGGUGAGUCAAAAAUCGUUCAUACGGAUGGCAGUGCAAUUAUGCAUUCUAUAGCAGAUGAGUAUUUGCGAGUGGCAUACAAAUUUCAUACUACUAUAGGUUACAAGGUUGCUUGUAAACUCUGCUUCUGUUAGUGUGGAUCAUGACCUUAAACAAUAUUUUGAUGUAGAUCAACUCAACUCCUACAUAGAAUCUACUGAAACUAUGAAAGUAGUCAGAUAUCAUUGUUCA